AAAAGCCUCAGAUCUAACUCCAACACCUUCAAAGUCUGCCUCCUUUCCAAUCUUCUUUCUUCUGUUCGAUCUCUAAUCUCAGAAUUUGUGUCGGUAAGGUAAAGGUGAUAAUGAGUGAUGACUGAUGAGGGAGUUUUGGGACAAAUUUUAAGAGAAACGC
rnacentral:misc_RNA from 1 species